rnacentral:rRNA from 1 species
CAGUCGCCGCGGUAAUACGUAGGGUGCGAGCGUUAAUCGGAAUUACUGGGCGUAAAGCGUGCGCAGGCGGUCCGUUAAGACAGAUGUGAAAUCCCCGGGCUUAACCUGGGAACUGCAUUUGUGACUGGCGAGCUAGAGUAUGGCAGAGGGGGGUAGAAUUCCACGUGUAGCAGUGAAAUGCGUAGAGAUGUGGAGGAAUACCGAUGGCGAAGGCAGCCCCCUGGGCCAAUACUGACGCUCAUGCACGAAAGCGUGGGGAGCAAACAGGAUUAGAUACCCCUGUAGUCCCUGUCUCUUAUAC